rnacentral:lncRNA from 1 species
AUUGUUUAGUUUGAUGAUAUCUCUUUGUGUGCCCUUCCCAUGUGGGACAAAUGGACAAUUUCUAAAGCACUUUAAGCAUUAUCUUCUCUGAAAAGAACAUCCAUCUUGGUUUUCUGAAAACAAGAAAACACAAUUGUUAUGGAAGUCUCCAAUUUUCUUUGGCUAACCCAGGUCACCUUGGCAAUAUUGGUUCCCUUCAGAAUUUUACUAUGCUAAUAAAGAAGAAUCAUGAGCAUUUUUCUUGUGUCAAUGGGAAGCUUUCAAGCUUAUAGUUUGUAUUUUUUAUUGUGGAAGGUGACAUUUCCAACAUCAUCUAGUGGAGUAAAGAUUGUACUGUAAAAGCUUGUAGACUCUCUGUCCUUUUGAAUAAGCUGUAGGUAUUCCUAACUUCUUGGAUGUUUCUUAUCCAUGGGUUUCUGAGUCUGCUUAUUGUGAACUUAAUUUUAAUACUGAUAGUGGAGCUGUGACUUUUUAAUUUGUGGGAGCUUGAUGUUACCCUAGUUUAUUGUUCUAAUAGUUUUCAUUCUUUUAUUCUAUUUUUUCUGCUUUUUAUUGGCCUUAUCUCUUUGAGGAUUUUUUUUCCUUCUUUAAUCUUCUUCUCUUAGACCUUGUCUUUGUAUUUUUAUCUUCCUGUUAAUAAGUUUAGUUGCCCAAUUCAACAAUUGGCUGCUAUGUUUAUAGGCAUUUUAACUUUGUUUGAUAUGCCCCACUUUUUACUCUCAGAAUCUGGGAUAGAUAAUCUCUGCAAGAUAUUAAGCACUUUAGUUCACUUUCUAAAAAAAUGGUUGAUUUUGGUAUUUUAAAUUCAUUAACUUUCAGUAGCUGCUUAUAUGUUGUGAGAUUGCUCUAAAAAUCUUACCCCUUCUAAAUAGUCCUCAGCAUCUAGUUGUACAUAAAAUAUUUCUUUAAAGUUCAAAUUGCAUAAUUUGUUUCCAUUAAUAUUUAUCCACUGUAAUAAAUUAUUAUUAUUAUGUCAUUAUUUACCUACUAGAGAUGCACUUUUUUAUUUUUUAAAUAAAAUAAAAAAUGAAAUAUUCCAUCUAUAUUUGUUUUGGUUUUUUUCUUGCAAUACCAGUUCCCCGCCAUGACAGGCACAACCGUAAAGUAAGAUACUUUUAGGAAACAAUUAUGAAUUAGUAAUGGAUGAAAUUUCACAUUUGUGCUUGUAGAUAGUGCAAUUCUCUCUCUUAUAAAAUUUGAAAUAUGGUGUUUGCAUUUUAUUUCAGGGUUUACAUUUACGGAAGUCAGCUCCGUUAGAGCGAGUGCAAGUAAAGUUAUCUGUUGCCACUUCUCAUCAGAUGGAAAACUGCUUGCUAGUGGUGGCCAUGAUAAAAAGGUAAGUGCCAAGAGGAUUAAAGUAUCCUAUAUUAUUAAAAGUGAAUGUUGAAGAGCACUAAACAUGUGAUGAAGGGGGAGCUCAAAUGCUUCAUCGUGUUGCAUAGUUAGGAUCAUAGAAGAAUAACUGAACUAGUUUUCUUAAUGGUCUUAAAUGCAGGCAGUAUUGUGGUAUACAGACACUUUAAAGACAAAAACUACACUUGAAGAACAUUCAAUGUUAAUCACUGAUGUCCGUUUCAGUCCGAGCAUGCCGCGUCUUGCAACAUCUUCAUUUGACAAAACCGUCAGGGUUUGGGAUGCUGACAGUGUCAGUGGACUAGUUCUUCUUUUUGUAGUUCUGUGUGUUUUCUUUGGUUUUCUAAUGUUAGUGUUUUUGUAAGAAUAUUUUGCUUCUGAAUGUUCUGUCUGGAGCAUUGGUUUAUUGGAGUUGACCUGGUUACAUCUAGGAUUAUAUUGACCUAUCAAGUUUGUCAACUUGGUGGUGUUUGAUUACUCAUUUAUUGUACUGUUUUUGUGAGAGAAUGCAUUUUACAUAUUUAUAUUAGAAAGUUGGUUGCUUGAAGAUAACAAAAUUGAAACUGUGCAUGUUUUUGGCUGUUUGUUUGUAAUCCAUGACUUCUAAACUGUGAUUGUUUUCCUGUUGGUGGUGGAGUUCCCUAGUUUAGUUUGUCAACAAUGAAUAGAAAAAAGAGAGAAGGGCUGUUAGGAGAGAGGAGUUUUCUUUGUGCCCACAAAAAAUGAUCGCCUUAAAAGAUUGAGGUGAUUUGGUGAGAAGAAAGAGAGAUUAAGCACCACUUUCCUACACUGGAUUUAUUUUUAUUUUUUUACAAAGGAGCCUAGUGUGGUUCAUUAUUCUAUUUCUUUUUUCCUUCUCUGUCCAUUUUCUGUUUAUGUGAAGUGCUUGAAUUUUCUCCUUUUCUCUCAUCUUUAAGUGGUGGGAAAAAAAAAGAUUACUAGUUUUUGAUAGGAACAUGUUUUUCUUUUACAUCUUUUUUGUGUUUUGGGGUUGAGAUUGUUUGAAGAAUAAUGCAUCCUUCAGUUUGUACUGUUACAUUUAUUCCUGUCAAAUCAAUUGUUUGUUUCAAUCACAAAAGGAAAAAAAUGGUAAAAUUUAGUAUAUUGCACCAUACAAUUGCCAUAUAAAUGAAGAUGGGGGCAUUUUCCUCUGUUGUUGCCUUGUAGCUCAAAUAGUGUUUUCUUGCUUUCCAAUAUAUGUUGGGAUGUUUGCAAUGCUGUGGGGUGGUGUUCUGCAUCAUGCAGCAAUGCAAAUGAUCAAGAUGAUACUUGCCAGAUUAGCGCUUUCAUUUUUUGAUGCAUUUACAGAUGAACAAUGAAUACCUAGCGUAUAUUUUGGUCGGUAAUAGUUAGUGAAUCAGGCUGAUGCUGUGAUAUAUCACCUUUAGAAAAGAUACGGGAAAUAUUUACAAUAAGAUUUCUAACAUGUAUUAUUUCCCCUACUUUUAAAACUUAUGAUAGCUUAGCCAAGGGAUUGGCCGUGAUGGACGUGUAAUGCUAUUACAAAAAGUGAUUAUUUCCCACUCCUUUACCAAGUUCUAGGGAUAAUUAUUGACGCAUGCUAAUUGUACACAUCUAGCAUCCUUGGGUGGUGCACCCUCUAUCAUACAUUUGCCCAGAAAAAAAAAAGAAAAAAGAAAGAAAAAUCACCUUCGCUGCUUUCAUGAACUGGCAUUUCUUCAUUAAUGAAAUAUAUUGGGGACUUUACAUUGUCCUCUUAGUUGUGCAGCUUGUGCCACAACAUCAACUUGAUUGCGAAACCUCCCAAUUCUAUCAGUUAUCAAUUUAAUGUUUUUAAUGAUAAAAUAAAUAGAUUAUAUAUAUAUGUAUGGUAAUAGGCACAUGUUAAGGGUACCAUACCUGUGUGCUUGUAUGUAUGGGUGCACAGGUAUGUGGACAUAUGAGUGUGUGUACUGUUUCACUAAGAAAUAGAUCUGCAUAUAAUUUGGAUUUCAUGUUUAAAUACAAUGUGAUUUGUGCGUGUACGCAUUUAUUGCUUAUAGUGUAAUGUGCCAGGGCUACCUUUUGUCCUUAUUUGCAUUAUUCAUAUGGAUGUGAGAUUUGUAAUUUGUGUACUGGGCCUACUGGCUUAUUACUGACAGCUGCUUGUUUUUAUUCCUUGUAAAUUGGCUGUACCGUCAAAUCUUUUACUUUUUAAUUUUCCUUUUAGUCUGUCUAUAUGCUUAUGUGUUGGUAUGACUCCUAAUUGUACUUGAUGUCGUCUCAACUUUAUAUAUGACUUAUUCUGCAGACUAGUUACUCGCUACGUACUUUUACUGGACAUUCUGCGUCUGUUAUGUCGUUGGACUUCCACCCGAAUCAAGAUGAUCUCAUCUGCUCUUGUGAUGGAGAUGGUGAGAUACGAUACUGGAAUAUUAAGAACGGUAGCUGUGCAAGGGUAUUCAAGGUAGAAACUAGUUCAUGUUGGUUUAUGCAUUUCAUAAAUUAUGUAAGCCUUGGAGGGGUAUGGACAUUCUUGGAGAAUUCUAAUUUUCUUCAUUUCAAUUAGGGUGGUACGGCCCAAAUGAGAUUUCAACCUCGUCAUGGAAGAUAUCUUGCAGCAGCUGCAGAGAACGUUGUAUCGAUACUGGACGUGGAGACACAAGCUUGUCGGCAUUCAUUACAGGUUAGUAUAUUUUUCAAUGUCAUUAUACAAUUUAACCAAGGACAAUAUGAAAAAAUGCCUACAAAGAAAGUGUCAUUCUUUUUUCACAGAGAAAAAAAAAAAAAAAAAGAGAAAGCAAAUGACACUAUAAGAACUUUCAUAAAAAAAUGCCUAUAAAAAAAGUCCAUUAUUUUAAAUUUUUUUAAAUUUAAAUCUUGUAGAGUUAUUUUACGUGGAAUUGAUUUUGGAACUUCCCUUUCGUAAUCCCACUUGGGCCAUUCCCCCGCCUCUCUCUCUCUCUCUCUCUCUCUUUUCCCUUUCCUUUUUUCUUGUUUUGUGGUUCCCUGAUGGGACAUAAGUUUGUAGUGUGAUAUAUACACAAUACAACACAUGAUACAUGAUACUAUAAUACUGUUGGUUUUGACUAUUUUUGGUAAUUUCCUAAAUAAUUGAAUUUGACUUACCUUUAGUAGUGCCCUCUGGGCUGUAACUCUGCAGUGAUCUAUGGCAUUGGACUAGAGGGCUUGAGUUUGAGCCUCCCAUUUAACUAGGUGUUGUAGGGUGGAGGGACAGGGGGCGUGGGGCAGUUGGAAUAACUGCCUCACUGUUGGAGUGAGUUCUCCAUUUUCAGGGGAAAAAAAAGAAAACUCGAAUUUGGAAAAGAUUUUCUUAAAAAAAAAGUUAUUAUAUUAAUUUAGAAUAUAAUUUAAAUUCAGAAAUGGUUGAUGAAAAAGAAGGGAUAAGAUGAUGCUGCAAGAGAACACUACAUAUGUGUUGUUAAAGGACCAUGUGAAAGAUUAUAGCUUAGGUAUAAUUAUAUCCAUAAUGAAUAUUUGGAAGGUGCUAUGCGAGUGAUUUGAUCAAUGUGCCCUUGAAGUGAAUGAAGAGUUUUACUCAAUAUAUUAAUUUCUUUUUCAAAUGUUUUUUCUUUUAGGGGGAGGACAUUUUUUAUGAGUUCACAAUACAGAAGAAUACGAAAAUGAUAUAAAAUACAAUUUAUUAGCUCACAAGUAUGUUAUCCUGGAUUUACUGAGAGAAUGGAUUCUGAAAGGUGGGUUCCAAUAAUUAUGUAUCAAUCACUUUUUCCCUUGAAAAUCUCCCUAUGGAUGGGUGUGGUGGUUGCCUUUAUAAGGUGGGGAAUUCCAAAUUCAAUGAUUUAGAAUCACUUUUAUUUGUAAAAAGGCUUCUCCCAUUUAUGAAUUGUUGAAAACAAGGACUUUAUGUGUUAAGAGUCAAAACUGAAAUAAGGGAGUUGAGGAUUUUUUCUGAUAGAAUGAUCUGAUUGUUGCUCAUUGGAUAUGGAAAAUUUGACCCUCUGAAUUUUAUGAGGCUGCAAAUUCCUUGCUACUCGUAUAUGUGCCAUUUCAAUUAGAAAUGUAAUUGAAAAUUUUGUAGACUUGCCCUUUCUAUUUGAAAGAUACCUUAUUGUAUAGUUAUUCACUUAUUCAAACUGUAAUACAAUUCAGAAUUCAUUUUGAUGUAUUUAAAAAAUAAUAUAAAGUAGAAAAUUCAGAUAACUUUCAAACCUCAAAAGCUGACAGACAGGUUAUUUUAAAAUUUAACAUAUAUGCGGGUUUGAUAAAUUCAAUGUUUUUUCUAUACUUGAUAAAUGCUAUUUAGUUGAUGAAAUGUGUAGUAUAGAUAGACUUUUGAAGGUUCUUAGGAUAUAAAUAUCCAUCUUAUGGACCUUGAUGAGUUCUGAUCAUUAUCAUGUAAAAUUUUUUCUUCCCCUUCCUUGUUGUCCCUUUUCCUUUUUCUUUCUGAUAAGAAAACGAGUCAAAUAUUGUAAUGAAAGCACCAGAAAUAGGUGCCGCGAGGUUUACAUGAUGUCUCUUAUAUGUGAUAGGCCUUCUGACAUGGGUUUGUAAUGCUAGGGACAUACAAAACCAAUUCAUUCUGUCUGCUGGGAUCCUUCUGGUGAGUUCUUGGCAUCUGUAAGUGAGGAUUCUGUCAGAGUUUGGACGCUUGGAUCAGGAAACGAAGGGGAGUGUGUUCAUGAGUUGAGUUGUAAUGGCAACAAGUUCCACUCCUGUGUUUUUCACCCAACAUAUUCAUCAUUGCUGGUCAUCGGUUGUUACCAGGCAAGUCAUUUGUCCUUUUGCUUAAAUUCCUUUAUACUUGUUUAUUGUUUACUUGAGCAUUAGUCAGCACUAUAUUUUUCUCUAUGGUAUUGCUUUAUGUGCAAAAGUAUUCAGUUAAUUUAAGAUUCUAAUAAAGAUGGCAUUAAACCUGCAUGGGUCAUACUGCCAUAUGUAGGGAGAUUUUGUCAAAUCUAAAACAGGAAUCCUUAGAUCUUUACUCAAACACCUAUGCCUACUUUUUCCCUUGUACAUUUAUUUAGUAAAUAAACUGUCAGGACCCAUCAACUACUCAAAUAUCUAUAAGCACAAUUUCCCUCUAUCUUUUCCAGCAAAUAAACUGUCAGGACCCCCCAUAGGUUUCUGCAUCCCUUUUGAAAGAUCUAAGUGGGAAAAUGAGGGCAUUGUGAAUUUAGACCAUUUAAUUUUCCUUAUAUUUCCAACAGUAGAGAUUUUCUUGAAGAGGCCAUGCAAGUCCUUGAACUUCAAAGAAUUUAAUUUCUAAUCAUUUUAGUAUUGUUAUUUGCUACAGUCUCUAGAGCUUUGGAACAUGAGCGAGAACAAGACAAUGACUCUUUCAGCUCAUGAUGGACUAAUAGCUGCCUUGGCUGUAUCAACUGUGUCUGGCUUGGUUGCUUCAGCUAGCCAUGACAAGAUUGUCAAGCUCUGGAAGUGAUUCAACUGUUUUUGUCAUGGUAAAAACUGCCUCUGCAAUUCAGGACUAGAUUUCUUUUCAGUGUUUGAUCAAAAGCUGGUCUAGUAUACAAAUCUAUUUUGGUUGAUCAUUCUGUCCGUUUUGUGUUUUGCCUUUUUGGAUCUCAACUUCAUCUCCUUGUAGUCCUGGAUAUUGACCUUGUAUUGUUGCUGUGUUAUGUCUAUCUUUUUACUCUUUGCUAACAUUGGACUUUCUAGUUACGUUUUUAGAAACGAUUGUGUAAUGAUUUGUACUCUAUAAAAAGGUAUGUGUUUUAGUUCCUGAUAGUCUUUCUAUUUUGUUUAUUCUAAUUUAUAUUGUUUCAUUUGAGACCAUGCCCUUCUGGAUACCAAACAUGGUUUUACAUUGGCUCAGCAAACUUGGGUUUUGCCUGAACUUUAUCUUGGUUCAUUCUAAGGUUUUAGCCAAAUAUGAAUUUGAUCAUCGAAUCGUAAUUUCCUGACCAAUCUCGAAACCAUGAUCAAAAUUCGAAACGAUUCUUUGUCCCCUCAAUCUCAUUCUCUUCAAGAAGAGGAAUGAAAGGGAAAGGUUACAUGGGCCCGACUGAUUCAUGAGCCAGUCAUGGGUGCUGUUGGACUGAAUCAGCUCCGAUCUGUCAUCCUAUGUGUAUCUUCAAAGGGCCCAUUAUGUUUUAGAUCUUUAUUCUCUUCAAGAUGUAUUUUCAUAUUUUGUCAGCUCUAUUUUGUUUGUGUAUCAAAAUCACUAUGUGCUCGGUUGUCGAAUGUACUUGGCUGUCAAAUGUACAGAAUCAUUUUUUCAAUUUAUUUUUGCCAUAGUUUCAAAUGGGUUCAUUGGACAGGACAUGGUUGUCAUGUUGUGCAAGGAAAUGUUUUCUUGUUGGUAGUUAGAAACCAGAAUUGAGCCUAUAGGCAACAGACUAAGUUUUCCUCCAGCAUUUAUUUCAUUGAUGGCCAUGGGCUGCGAGCAAAAAGUACCACCCUUGAUAGGAUUUGCCCAACAAUUAUAUCUGUACCACUUCUGCAGAUUGGGUAAAACAAGGUCUCCUGCACUGGAGUCUUCUGCUAUCAGAAACUAACACACUGCUUAACAUUAGAAACUGGUUAGAAUUUUUACCCGCGAUCUGCAUUUGCAUUCUGAACAUUGUUGUUUUAUGCUUGAAUUGUGAAAAACCCUCGGAAUUUCUAACGUAAAAACAUGGAUGUUCUGAAAGGAUGGUUGUGACUGAUGAGAGUCCCUUUUUCAGUCCUCUUGAUUAGUUGGAGUUGAAAUAAAAUGGAAAGUAAGAUCUUGGCAUUGUCCUCCCUGUUCAAACAUGGACAGUCACUGGGUAUCAUCAUCACCAAUCUGUCUCAUUAUCAGUUUCUUUAGUUUAAACCAUGAGACUAGAAUCAAUGUUCGGAACCCGCAGGUGGGUUAUCAAGAUUAAUCAUGGGGACCAUUGGUAGAUGAUAUAAUCAAUCAAAGCAUUCUUUCCCCUUCCCGUUUCCUCUCUUCUCAAGCAAACAUCAUAUGAUUACAGUAGGAGUAGGUAAAACAUUCAAGAUAAUGCAAAGGCUAGCUCCUAAAAUCCACUCUACCUGGGUCAUUGAUGAUAACACCUGGGCUGAAGCAGAAAAUGAAAUGAUACAUGCAUCCUCUUCAGGAAUGUCCUUGUGUGAGGUGACCAUUUGUUUUUCUUUGCUUGGGAGUUGGAAUCCAUGUACCCAAUAUCUUCUAUACUUUUUGUUGGGGUCUCCAUCUUCUCUGAUUGAGUAAAAUAUCCUGCUUUGAUUUGAGGGGAGGAAAAAAAAAUGAAGAAAUUAUUUUUAAUUCAUUUUGAUUACCUAUUGUCAUGGUGUUGGUGACUGAAUGAGGUACAAAAUUAUUAAAAUAAGCAGAAUUCAUUUUUAUAAUACUUUCUUCGAUUUUUUUUUUUUUUUUUUGGUUGCAAUCAUCACUUAAAAAAUGUUGUGCAGUUGAGAAAUAAUGAAAUUUAUUCAAUAUAAAUAAAGAUCCAUUUUAUAAUUGUGUUAGAAUGAUUUGAUAUACGUUUCAAUUAAUAAACGAGAUAAAUUAGAUUGUGUAUGAAUUGAUACAAAUAACUCAUUAAUAUGUCUUAAUUAAUAAAUGAGAUAAGUUAGAUGGUGUAUAAAUUGAUAUUGAUAAUCUGUAAAUAUGGUUUCAACUUGUUAAAUGUCUUGGUACGAUUUUAACUUCUUAAAUUUGUUAAUAUGUUUAUAGUCCAUUUAACUUAUUUAAAAUGCUUUGUUUCUUUUAACUUUGAAGUUCAACUUUUAAAAUUUUAAUUAAUUCAAUUGCUUAUAAAUAAAUUUUUUAACUUUACACUGGUUAUCAUUUUCAAUGUUUUUAGAACUUGACCAGUUAUUGAAUCACAAAAGUUGUCGGUUCGGUGGUUGAAUUAUGAUUAAAUUGAUAAUGUCAUAAAUAUAUAAUUUAUAUAUUAUUAAAAUUAAAAAUAAUUAUAUAUAUUUUAAAAUAUAUAUAAAUAAAUUAAAAAAAUCAAUAAUAUUUAUUUUUUAUCUUAUGUAUGAGUAUAAAUGUAUUAAUAUUUUAAAUUUUAAUAAAUAAAAUAUGUAUAAUAUUUAAAUGUGAACAUAUUAAAAAUGAAAAACAAUUUAAUUAUUCAAUUUUAACUAAUUUUAUUUAAUUUUAAAAAAUUUAUAUUAUUUUUAUGUGAUAUUAUAAUUUUUUUUAUUAAACAUUAUAUUUCUUUAUAAAAAAUAACAAGUUGGAUGUAGUCGAGUGGUGUGUUAGCUCAUUUAAUGAGUUUGAGGUUGAGGUUUAAAUCUUUUAAGGAAUUGGAGAGGGUUGGGUUUAUUUUAAUGAAUAAAAGGAGGGGUCAUUAAAUCGUUUGGUUUUCUCUGAGGGUUUGUUUGAAUGGAUAAAAGAAGCAUUGAACAGUUUGAUUUGCCAAUUAUUGUCCGAUUCAUUGGUGCAAUUCAGGCAGUUCGUGGUCGGUUCAAUGGCUAAGUAGUUCAUAAGAUCAAAUUGAAUCGAAAGGGUUAUCGAUCGGUUGUUGGAUUGAUCCAUCCAGUCUAGUUUUCAAAAUAUUGAUUAUUUUAUUUAUAAUAAAAUCAAUAAAAUUUUACUAGAUUAGUUAUUUAAUUUUUUUUUUUACUAUAUGAGAAUUUUUAAUUUUUUUAAUUUUAUAUAUAUAUAUAUAGUCAUAAAUGAGUUGACAUGAUGAAAUAAAUUUAUUGAAGUUAUAGAGGGGUCACGAUUAAGUAAACGAGUUAUAUAAUUUGACACAAUUAUAAACAAUAUUACCCUUAACAUAAACUCACUAAAAUUUAUAUAGUUUUGAAUUGUAUUACUAUAUCAUGUUAAAAUUAUCGUCCCUAAAUUUUAACCUUAACAUUAAUUCGCUCUUUGAGAUUUGAGAAAGAAUACAAAGGUGACCUUAACCAUGAAAUAAACCAAAAUGAAGCAUUUUUCAAUGAGAAAACAUAAUCCCCCACCCAACAUAAUUUGGACUUUGGCCUCUCCCUCUCCUGUUUUAUCAUAUCAAGGGCGUUUGAUGAGGUCUUAUAAUUGUUUAGAAAGAAAUAUUCUCUUCAAAUUGAUAAAUGAUAGUUUUUUUUCCAUCAUUCUUUCAUUCGUUCAUAUACAGAGUAUAUAUAGAGGAUAAUCACCAUUCUAAAAAUGGAAAAAAAUGAUACAAGCAAAUAACAACUAAUAUCCUAAUAUCUCAACUUUCCUAAUAUCUCGAUAUUCCUAAUAUCUCAAUAUUUCUAAUAUCUCAAUAUUCAUAAUAUCUCAAUUUUCUUAAUAUCUAAAUAUUCCUAAUAUUUCAACACUAAAUGAUAUAACGAAACAUUCCUAAUAUCUCAACAUAUUCAAGGGUUCAUCAAAUCAUCCAUGACCUCUAAUCCUCGAGAAAAAUGGAUAUGAAUCUUAAUGGGCACCUAAUGAAUGAGUGUUGGACCCACUGGAUCUCACACUCCACACCCUGCAUUCUCUUGUGGAACCGAAUUUCCUCAGCACGGGGCUAUGAAUCUGAAUUCAAGCCCACUCUUCAAACUGUGACAGUUUUGUGAAUGAUGCAAUGAUUUAGAAGUAGCAGUUCCCUGUGUUUAAUAAAUUUUACUCCUAACCGAUCCCAUCUGCCCUUUUCAUCACCGGGCUCACUUGCAUUGCCUGUAGUUUGCAUGGCGGUUUGGCCCUUCCACUUGAGCACCAAUCAAUUUCUACACUGGAUUGAAAGCAUAGUUUUAACUGCUCAGGUGAUAAAAAGAACAUAUCAAGGAGAGAAGUGCCGACGUUAAACCUUUUUCUCUCUUUCCCUUCUCGGUCAGGGAGUGGGGUGGGGUAGAAUGAGGGAGGUGGUAUUUCAGACAUGUCAGAGCUGGUCUGGAAUAUAAACUUCGUAGGAUUACAUUAUUGUUUUUUGAUAGGCUUCUUAGGAUUACAGUUUUGAUUGGGUCCUAAUAUAAUUCCCUGGCCUUGAUGCAUUUUAAGGCUUCAAAAGACCAGACUGGGAGAAAGUGAAAGCAGCCUGUUACAUCUUCUGGUCCAACCAAUAAGCUCAGGACUGCAAGCGCAGCAGGACCCUCCCAAGCUCAGCACACAGUGGUUGCUCUUCAAAACCAUUGAUGAUGUUGGGCACUGAUGGUACUGGAACUCUUACAUAACCGUCGUAUCAGUUGGUGAGCAAAGUCUUUACCUUCUUGUAUUUACAGAAGGGAUUUUUUAUUUACUCGCAUGAAUUCUCAAUGGUAUUCCUUUUUGGCAGUGGGAUGAUAAAAAUCUUGAAUUGCAGGCUGAUAUGGAUCGUUUUGUGGGAGACGGUUCCCUUGAUGAUAAUGUCGAGUCUUUUUUAUCUCAUGAUGAUACAGAAGUAAAGGUGAGGUGGUGGCCAGAUUUCUGGACCGUUUAGGAAAAUCUAACAGGCCUUAUAAGAGACCUGGGUCUUUUUCCAAAUGUGACUGAAAAAAGAGCUUCUAGCUCCCUCAGUCAUUCCCUCUGCAUUUCUGUACGUAUCAGCAGAACUGUCAAGAUAGUCUCUCCAUCGUUGAGGAGUUCCUCCUAACUAACAUUUUUCACUCUGCAACAAGUAACAACCUCUGUAUGUAAAAAGAAAACAUUGACGGUCUUAAUUGCUGCUUACACAUUUCGAUGUUUCUACAUACUGCUAUUUAGCUCCCAUGAUUAGUAGGCUUCCAAAAUUGGCUGACUAAAAAUAUUUCUGACUCUCUUCUCCUGAUUGAUGGAUAAUGUCUCAGGAGGCAUUUGAAUAUCAACGUAGCUCCUCUUUCCUAUUCACCUUGGUUGUGAACUUUUGAAGCUGAAUCAUUAUAGAGGCUCGAAGCAUGAAUUGAAGCUCUUUCUGUUGGAAGAAUAUUUUGGUGUCUCAUAUCCAUUUUGUGAUGAUGGCAUCCUAGUUUUUGAUAUUUUUUUUAUUAUCUGGUGUUUGAAAACCAGUAGGCCCGAAUCUUGGUGAAAUCCGAAGGGAAGGACUUACCUGAAUCGCUACAGGUGGUGGUAGGCUUUUCUUGUUUUGCCGUUCGGUAGUGGUGGAUGUUAGAACUCAACCAAGAUGAAUACCCUAAUUUCAUAUAUACUGGAAUAAUCUUGUUAAAAUCAACCAAAAUGAAUACCCUAAUUUCAUAUAUACUGGAAUAGUUAACAAGGUAAAUACCCUAAUUUCAUAUAUAUUGGAAUAUUUAACAGGGUGAAUACCCUAAUUUCAUAUAUACUGGAAUCUCCUGAUUAAAAACAAUGAGUAGAAAAAUAAUAGCGGAAACAUACCUGAAUCCAUUGAAGGAGAAACCUUAUAGGAAGAAAACCCUUUGAGAUGGUCUUCCAAUUCUAGCCACUAGAUUCUGUGUCAAUUUUUCUCUGAGAGGAUUUUCAGAAAUUGGAAUGCGUAGUCGUAGAAUGGGGACCAUAACCCUAUUUAUAAACUGCUAGGGCAGUUUUAAUUUUAUCACAAUUAUAUUUCUGCCCCUCAUAGAAAUAAUAAUUGUCUAAUGGUAUCUACACAAUAAUCUCAUGACAAUUAUACCCUUAAGCCAAUUAAUCAAUUAUUAAUUAGAUCACUAUAUUUAGGCUUAAUUAAAUGAUAGCACACACAUUUUAAUUAUUUACAUGUGUGGCCCAAAUUAUAGAUUAAUUACAAAAAUUAAUCUAACAAUCUCCCACUGGGCCACAUGCAUAUGUAAUCAAAUAAAUGUGCUUAACCUUAUGAGCUCAAAAUUUGCUAUCAUGUCCUUAGGGUANNNNNNNNNNNNNNNNNNNNNNNNNNNNNNNNNNNNNNNNNNNNNNNNNNNNNNNNNNNNNNNNNNNNNNNNNNNNNNNNNNNNNNNNNNNNNNNNNNNNAUUAUUUACAUGUGUGGCCCAAAUUAUAGAUUAAUUACAAAAAUUAAUCUAACAAUCUCCCACUGGGCCACAUGCAUAUGUAAUCAAAUAAAUGUGCUUAACCUUAUGAGCUCAAAAUUUGCUAUCAUGUCCUUAGGGUAUAUCCGAACAAUCUCGUCCAUUAACUAUACUGACAUAGGAUCAAGGUGGCCUUUGUUACAUCAAUCGUUACUAGACCAAUCAAUGGUCACAUAUAUCUGCACAACUAAAUGACAUAGAUCAAUCAUGAGUGCAUAGCAUGGAAAUUACAUGCAAUGUGAUCUAUUCAUGCCUAUUUCCAACUGGUCCAACUUAACUUUAUUGAGAUCAAAUCUUUAGCAUAAUUUAACAGAGUGUAAUAAAAUAAAUACUUUAUUUCUGCAGAACACAAUCCAAAUGUAUAGAUAAAGUCUAAACAUAACAUAGAGCAAUAUACAAUGAAUAAUACAAACUCCCACUAAAUUUGGAUAUCCUCAAAUGAGGCAACACCCAUAUGAGCAGUGUGCUCAUGAAAGACCUUGGGUGGUAAUCCCUUUGUAAGCGGAUCCGCUAUCAUGGAGUUUGUUCCAAUAUGCUCUAUGGAUAUCUGUCCACUCUGUACCUUUUCUUUUACAACUAGGAACUUGAUAUCAAUGUAUUUUGAUUUUGUAGAACUCCUGUUGUUAUUGGAAUAUAAAACUGCUGAUUUAUUGUCACAAAAUAUCUUCAGUGGUCUUUCAAUACCAUCCAAAACACGCAGCCCAGUGACAAAAUUUCGUAGCCAUAUUCCUUGAUUGGAUGCCUCAUAACAUGCUACAAACUCUGCUUCCAUGGUGGAUGAAGUUACGAGUGUCUGUUUGGCAGACCUCCAUGAAAUUGCUCCACCAGCCAACAGAUAAAUAUAGCCUGAUGUGGAUCUUCUGCUGUCUUGGCAUCCAGCAAAGUCGGAGUCGGAAUACCCAAUCAACUCUAACUGAUCCAAUCUCCUAUAUGUAAGCAUGUACUCUUUUGUUCUCUGUAAAUAUCUCAUAACCCUCUUGGCUGCUUUCCAAUGAUCCAUUCCAGGGUUACUUAGAUAUCUGCCUAACAUGCCAACAAUGUACGCAAUAUCCGGACGUGUACAUACCUGAGCAUACAUUAGACUCCCCACAGCUGAAGCGUAAGGAAUCUUCUGCAUUUCUUGACUUUCUAAACUAUUUUUGGGGCAUUGAUUAAGACUGAAUUUGUCUCCUUUAGCGACAGGGGUAUCACCUGGUUUGCUAUUUUGCAUGCCAUACCUUUGGAGGACUUUAUCAAUAUAGGUCCUUUGUGACAAUCCUAAAAUACCCCUAGAACGAUCUCGGUGUAUCUGGAUUCCUAAGACAAAGGAGGCAUCACCAAGAUCUUUCAUCUCAAAAUGUUUUGAUAAAAAUCUCUUGGUGUCGUGCAAUAUGCUGAUAUCAUUUGUGGCUAGCAAUAUGUCAUCGACAUAUAAAACCAGGAAAAUAUACUUACUCCCACUGAAUUUGUGAUACACACAUUCAUCCAUAAGAUUUGCCUCAAAACCAUAUGAGACAAUAAUUUGAUGAAACUUGAAGUACCACUGACGAGAAGCUUGCUUGAGCCCAUAAAUGGAUUUAGUUAAUUUACAAACCAUAUUCUUUGAGUCUUCGGACACAAAAUUUUCUGGUUGUACCAUAUAAAUUGUUUCAUCAAUGUCACCAUUGAGAAACGCUGUUUUAACAUCCAUUUGAUGUAACUCAAGAUCAUAAUGUGCAACUAGUACCAUGAUUAUCCUGAAAGAGUCCUUCGUAGAAACUGGAGAGAAGGUCUCUUUGAAGUCAAUUCCUUCUUUUUGAGUAAAGCCUUUAGCUACAAGACGUGCUUUAUAUCUUUCUACAUUACCAUUUGAAUCCCGCUUGGUUUUAAAUAUCCAUUUACAACCAAUGGGCUUCGUACCAACUGGUAAUGGGACAAGUUCCCAAACUUUAUUGUCUUGCAUAGAUUUGUACUCUUCAUUCAUGGCUUCAAUCCAUUUAUGAGAGUUGGAACUUUUCAUGGCUUGUUGGAAGUUGAUUGGAUCAUCUUCCAUCAUUCCACUUUCUACCUCACGUUCCUGGAGAUAUACGAUAUAAUCGUCCGAAAUUGCAUUUCUCCUCUCUCUAGUGGAUCUCCUUAAUGGCAUAUUUUCUUGAGGUUGUUGAGUUUGUUCUUCAGGAGCAAUGUCCUCAUUUGCAAUUAAGGGUUGAACAAUAUUGUCUGUUGGUUGAGGAUCCAAAUUUACUUCUUGAUCAAUGAUAGGUAGUGAAACCUGUACAUUAUCAAAAGCAAUAGUAGAUCCCUCUUCCUCCUCAAAGACAAUAUUCCUAGCCUGAUUUCUCCCCCCAAACUCAACAUCCUCAAAAAAUGUUGCAGUUCCCGUCUAAAAAAUUGACCUAAUAGCAGGAUCAUAAAAUUUAAAACCCCUUGAUCGCUCUGCAUAGCCAAUAAAGUAGCUACUAACUGUUUUAGAGUCCAAUUUCUUUUCAUGAGGCUUAUAAGGUCUCGCUUCAGCUGGACAUCCCCAAAUAUGAAAAUGCUUUAAACUGGGCUUUCGACCCGUCCAAAGCUCAUAAGGCGUUUUAGCAGCCGCUUUAGUUGGCACCCGAUUUAGGAUAUAAGCUGCCGUUUUGAGUGCUUCACCCCAGAGUUUUUCGGGUAAAGUAGAAUGACUAAUCAUACUCCUUACCAUGUCCUUAAGGGUUCGGUUUCGUCUUUCUGCUACACCAUUCAUGCUAGGUGAUCCUGGCAUGGUGUAUUGAGGGACGAUCCCACAUUCCUCUAGGUAUUUAGCAAAUGGUCCUGGACGUUGUUCACCUGAUCCGUCAUAUCUACCAUAGUAUUCACCACCACGGUCAGAUCUGACGCUCUUUAUUCUUUUGUUGAGUUGUAACUCAACUUCUGCUUUAAAUGUUUUGAACACGUCCAAUGAUUGUGAUUUCUCAUGUAUAAGAAAUAGGUAGUCAUAUCUUGAAUAGUCGUCUAUGAAUGUUAUAAAGUACUGUUGACCAUUCCAAGAUGCCGUAGGGUAUGGUCCACAGAUAUCUGUAUGAAUUAAUUCUAAGACGUCUGUAGCUCUAUUGGCACCUAAUUUCUUUGUUUUGGUCUGUUUUCCUUUAAUACACUCAACACAAAUAUCAAAAUCUGAAAAGUCAAGUGAAUCCAAAAUCCCAUCGGACACAAGUCGCUCAACUCUAGAUUUAGAGAUAUGACCUAGGCGUUUGUGCCACAAUGAGGCCGAAUUAUCUUUAUUCAAUUUACGUUUUGUACCUCGUGAUUCCACAUGCAAGGUUUCAUUAUAGGACGGAACAGUUUCCAACAAAUAUAGAUUAUCAUAAACAUUAAGUAAACCGGUUCCUACAGCAUUUGAAUUAAUAGAUAAUGUAAAUUUAUUGUUUCCAAAUGAACAACAAUAACCUGAUUUGUCCAAAACAGAAACUGAAAUUAAAUUCCGUCUGAAAGACGGUACAAUAAAAGUAUCUAUUAAAUCCAAAAAAUAACCAGAUUUCAAUAAUAAUCUAAAGUGCCCUAUUGCCUCUACUUCUACCGACUGACCGUCUCCGACAUAGAUGCAUCUUUCAGCAUCACUUGGUUUUCGGUAACUCAGACAACCCUGCAUAGAAACACAAAUGUGAGUAGUAGCACCAGAAUCUAACCACCAUGUGUUUCUAGAUACUGAAGCUAAAUUAACUUCAGAACAGACCAAAGUAAGAAACAUACCUUUCUUAACACGCCAAGCAGCAUACUUGGUACAUUCCUUCUUAGUAUGUCCAGGCUUAUUACAGAAGAAACAUGUUACCUCAACUUUCUGUUUCUUUUGUUCUGGACCAUUAGAAGCAGCAACCUUAUUAUCCUUAUUCUUUCGUUUGCCCUUAUCCUUGGAAAUGCUAGCCAGAUGAGCACUUUCGGUCUUGUCUUGCUUCAAUCUCUCUUCCUCUUGCACACAGAAUGAAAUGAGCUCAUUAAGAGUCCAUUUAUCCUUUUGACAGUUAUAACUGACCUUGAAUUGAUUAAAUUGUGCAGGAAGAGAUAUGAGAACCAAAUGCACGAGUAAAUCAUCAGAUAACUCGAGUUUCAAAGCCUUAAGUUUUGAAGCAAGAUGAGACAUCUCCAUGAUGUACUCCCGAACAUUACCCUUGCCUUUAUACUUCAUUGAAAUCAAGCUUGCUAAAAGCGUGCUCGUUUCAGCCUUAUCGUUUUUGGCAAAACGUUUCUGAAUUUCCGCAAGGAAGUCACUGGCAUUAGUAACCUCAUCGGUUACCGCACCCCUGAAAGCUUCUGGAAUGCCGCGCUUCAUGAUCAUAAGACUUAGCCUAUUUGAACGUUCCCACUUACCCCAAUAAACCUCAUCCUCUUGAGUACUUUGCUCAUUGAGUUCAUCAGGUUUGGGCAUUCUCAAGGCCAAGUCUAUAUCCAUGCAGCCUAAGAGAAUCAUCAUAUUCUCUUUCCAGUCCUUAAAAUUAGUCCCAUUUAACAUAGGGACAUUAUUGAUGUUGACAGAUAUAGAAGUAGUUGAUAUAAAAGCUGAAUUGAGAACAAAAUAAAAUGAAUCAAAUAAACCAUCAUGCUCACAUAAAAUAAGCAAUUAAACACAUAAUCUUUAAAUUUAAAAGCAAAUUAUGACAUUUCAAGAUACCUAGCACAACAUUAAUAUCAAGUCUUUGGACAGUAAUAUUAACUGUAAGUGGUACUCUUGUUGUAGUGAUCAAACAUUGAUGAUAAGUUAUGUCAAAUAAUAAAUCUAUCUUUGGAUUGAUUUAUUAUUUAAGUUACCUUUAUAAUCAUCACAUAUUUAUCACCACAAGUAUGUAUGCAAUUUGACCAAAUAUUAACUUUCCUUUGGGCCAGUCAAUACCCGCAUGAAUCACAUACACACAAAUAUCUAACACCCCGAACAGACUAAUCUACACGGAAGAUGUCACUUUGGUGAUUUUCCGCUUUAAUUAGCCUAUUUAAAAUGCUAGAUCAAUAACUUAAAUAUUAAUAUCAUAAAAUGCUAUUAAAUAAUAAUAAUAAUAAUAAUACUAAUAAUAAUAAAAAAUUUAUCAACUCAAUAUUUCAUAAAUCUUAAUCCAUUGACAUAUAUAUAUAUAUAUAUAUAUAUAUAUUAAAAUAAUAACUCAAAGAAUUAAUCAAGGAGUAGGCUCUGAUACCACUUGUUAGAACUCAACCAAGAUGAAUACCCUAAUUUCAUAUAUACUGGAAUAGUCUUGUUAAAAUCAACCAAAAUGAAUACCCUAAUUUCAUAUAUACUGGAAUAGUUAACAAGGUAAAUACCCUAAUUUCAUAUAUAUUGGAAUAUUUAACAGGGUGAAUACCCUAAUUUCAUAUAUACUGGAAUCUCCUGAUUAAAAACAAUGAGUAGAAAAAUAAUAGCGGAAGCAUACCUGAAUCCAUUGAAGGAGAAACCUUAUAGGAAGAAAACCCUUUGAGAUGGUCUUCCAAUUCUAGCCACUAAAUUCUGUGUCAAUUUUUCUCUGAGAGGAUUUUCAGAAAUUGGAAUGCGUAGUCGUAGAAUGGGGACCAUAACCCUAUUUAUAAACUGCUAGGGCAGUUUUAAUUUUAUCACAAUUAUAUUUCUGCCCCUCAUAGAAAUAAUAAUUGUCUAAUGGUAUCUACACAAUAAUCUCAUGACAAUUAUACUCUUAAGCCAAUUAAUCAAUUAUUAAUUAGAUCACUAUAUUUAGGCUUAAUUAAAUGAUAGCACACACAUUUUAAUUAUUUACAUGUGUGGCCCAAAUUAUAGAUUAAUUACAAAAAUUAAUCUAACAGUGGAAGCUCCACUCGCCCUGGGUUUCUCAUGUGGUUCCGAUGAAUGGAUCGUGCGGGAGCUUUGGGCGGGAGGUUAGGGAUGAAGAAGAGGUAAGUUCAAGCGCUGGUGUAAGCGUGAGGGAGAGGUAGCCGCUUCUGCAGACUGCUGAGAUUCAUGCGUUGAUUGAGUGUGGAGGAAGGACGGGGGUUGCAGGCGGUGCUGGUGGUGGGCCAGCAAAAGUGACUGUGGAUGGGACAGAGAAAGGUGGUGGGCCAGAUGGCAGUGUUCGAGGUGUGGGAGGGUGAUGAGUUGGGCCUAGGUUUGGAUUUAGACUAUGAAGCCUCCGGACUGUGCCUCUUGGUCUGUGGGCAAAGAAGGUGCCGGCCGAUGGAACCACGUGCGUCGAGGGGAUGGCAGCAAGCCGAUCGGGGAUCACCGACUUCGCUGAUGCAUCCAGGUACCCCGUUCUUCACUCUCGUCCUCUCUUUUCUUUGGGCUUACGGGGUCUCUCUUGCUCUACUCCUUUCUUGUUGCCCUCAAGAGGAAGAGGGAGAGCCGUCAGAAGGGUGGUCCUCCAGUUGCCUGGCUAAGUUUAGCCGGUGCUUAGGCAUGCUGACAGAGGAUUUUGAAGAGAAGAUUCUGUACCUUCUUGGGAGGAUGAAAGCGAGAAUUGACCAAAGAGGUCAGGAAGGGGCUAAAAGAAGGGCGAAUUCCUUGUCUUCAAGGUUCGGAAGGGAACUCAAGAAGCUUGAAUGGGGCAGUGACAUAUAAGGGUUGAGGAGCGGGUUGGGCAAAUAUGGUGGGGCCUCUGUUUCGGGAUGCGGAUGAAGAUAAGAAUCCUGUCAUGGAAUGUGAGAGGGGCGAAUGAUAGUGGCAAAAGGAAGAUUGUUGAAUCCUUGGUCUAGUCGCAAAGGAUGGAUGUGGUUUGUUUCCUGGAAACCAAAAUUCAUGAGAUGUCUGGUGGGCUUGUACGUGGCCUUGGGUGGGCAGAUGUUUAGAGUGGAGUGCCCUCAAUUGAGGGGUGCAGCAGGAGGUAUUCUGGUGUUCUGGGAUAACAGGGUGCUUGAAUUAGUUGGAUUGGAAGCGGGGAUGUACUUGAUUUCGUGCCAUUUUAAGAAUUGCGAGGAUAGUGGUUUCUGGAUUUUUAUUGAGGGUGUAUGGCCUGGUGUGCAGAGGAACAGGGAGAGUUUCUGGGAUGAGCUUGGGGUAAUUAGGGGUUGAUGGAGUGAUCCUUGGUGAAUCCAGGUGAUUUCAAGCGUAGUAGGGGAGGAGGCCUUUACCCAGCCAUGAGGAGAUUUUCAAAGGUCAAAGAGGAGUUGGAGUUGAGAGACAUCCCUUUGCUAGGGGUCCUUCACCUGGAGUGGUGGGUUGAAUAAUCAGUCCUAGUCUAGAUUUGAUUGGUUGUUGGUGUCAAAAGAUUGGGAUAACCUUUUCAACGGGACCUUGCAGUGUGUUUUACCCAGACCAGUAUCUGAUCAUUUUCCCAAUCUGUUAGAUGAGGGAGGCCUGAGGAGGGGACGUUCAUAUUUGAGAAUAUGUGGUUGGAGUAGGAGGGUUUCAAAGAAUUGCUGAAAAAUUGGUGGGUGGGUCUUAAUUUUAAUGGGUCCCAUAGUUUUGUUUUGACUGCCAAACUGAGAGCUCUAAAAGCAGUCUUGAAAUCCUGGAAUAAAGAUGUUUUUGGCAUUAUUGAAGCUAGAAAGGGAGCGAUGCUCAAUCAAGUGGCGUUUUGGGACAAAAGGAGAGGGUUACAACACUGUCCAUGGAAGAGGUUGAAGCUAGAAAUGAGGCAAGGAAGGAUUAUAAAAAGUGGGUUCUUAGGGAGGAAAUUGCGUGGAGGUAGAAAUCAAGGGAAGUGUGGUUGAAGGAGGGUGACAUUAACACCAGUUUUUUUCCAUAAGAUGACAAAUGCCCACAAAAGGAGAAACUGGAUGGCCAAGGUUUAAAGUGAAUGGUAGUUGGCUUAAUGAGGAGAAUGAAAUAAAAGAUGGUGCGGUUGGGGCUUUUCGGAACCUCUUGACCGAGGUAGAAGAGUGGAGACCCAUUAUAGGUGGUUUGUCUUUUUAGUGUCUAGAAGACUAAGGCUGCAAGGCUAGAGCAUCCAUUGGUUUUCACUGCUCUUUUAGAUCUAGGCAAGGAGAAAGUGCCAGGUCCAGAUGGGUAUACUACGACAUUUUGGCUUUUUAGUUGGGAGUUUGUGAAGGAAGAGGUGAUGAUGGGAUUUUUUAGCGAGUUCUAUGAGGAAGGCAGAUUUGUUAAGUUCUUGAAUGCCACUUUUCUGGUUCUAAUUCUGAAGAAAGGUGGUGUUGAAGACUUGAGAGAUUUUAGGCCAAUUAGCCUAUUGGGCAGCCUCUAUUAGCUGUGGGGCUAGGUUUUAGUCAAUAAACUUAAGAAGGUAAUGGACAAAGUGAUCACUGAAUCCCAAAAUGCAUUUGUUAAGGGGAGACAAAUUUUGGAUGCAUUUUUGAUUGCUAAUGAGGUUGUAGACUUAAGAUUGUAAAACAAUGAAUGUGGUGUUCUUUGUAAGCUUGAGAAGGUGUAUGAUAAUGUAAACUAGAAUUUCUUGCUUUCAGUGUUAAGAAAGAUGGGAUUUGGGAAGAAAUGGAUUAAAUAGAUAGAAUAGUGUAUCUCAAAAGCAGAGUUCUCUGUUCUUGUCAAUGGAUUCCUAAUCGGUUUUUUUCAAAGCUCUAGGGGCUUGAGAUAAGGGGACCCUUUCUCUCCCUAUUUAUUUGUGAUUGCUAUAGAAGUUUUUAGCUGUCUCUUGAAGAGGUCGUAGAGUGGUGGCUAUUUGGGUGAUGGGUGAGGGGUAGGGGAGGGGAUGAGAUUCAGAUCUCUCAUUUAUUAUUUAUUGAUGAUACUCUUGUGUUUUGUGAGGCAUCACAGGAUCAAAUGACUUAUUUGAGUUGACUAUUUAUGUGGUUCAAGGCCAAUUAUAGAUUGAGAAUUAACUUGGAAAAAAGUGAGUUAAUUCGUGUGGGGUGGGUUUGCAACAUAGAUGAAUUGGUCAUGGAGUUAGGUUGUAAGGUGGGCAGUGUGGUCUUGCAUUUUUCAUUACCGGGAUGUUAACUUAUAUGGGUCAAGGGCAAAAUGAGGGGUCUACAAUGGUCUUUCCUCUUUUUACUUAGGUCUUCCUUUGGAGGCUUUCUCACUCUAAUUCGAAGUACUCUUUCUAGUAUGCCCAUCUAUUUUAUUUCUCUCUUUUGCAUGUCAAAGCAGAUUAGACUAAGGUUGGAGAAAAUUUAGAGGGAUUUUCUUUAAGGUGGUGGGGCUCCUGUGCAGAAACUUCAUUAAGAUGGAAAAUGGUAUGUUCAAAGAGAAAGAAAGGGGGCUUGGGUGUGAGAUGUCUAUUAACAAUGAACAAAGCCCUUACUUAUCAAAAAAAAAAAACAAUGAACAAAGCCCUACUUUGCAAGUGGAGCUGACGUUUUGCCAAUGAAAGAGAGGCACUUUGGAAGCAAGUUAUUAGUUAGAAGUAUGGUGAAGAUGAAGGGGGGUGGCAAUCUUGUGAGGUGAGAGAUAGGUAUGGUGUUGGCCUUUGGAAAGCCAUAAGAAAGUAGUGAGAUCUUUUAAGUAGUAGAUUGUUUCUCUUAGUGGAAAAUAAUCAGAGAGUGAGAUUUUGGAAGGACAAGUGAUGUGGAGAUGAGCCACUUUGUGUUUCCUUCCUUUCCUUAUCUGCUUAGCCAUAUCUAAUGAAGCUUGGGUGGCAAAUGCUUGGAACUUGGAAGGUAAAAGGGGUGAAUGGACUCCUUGGUUCUCUAGGCCCUUUAAUGAUUGAGAUAAUGAUUGAGAAGUGGAAAGUGUGGAGCGCUUUCUGAUGAAGCUCCAAGCAAACAGGGUGUAUAGGGAUGUGGAAGGUAGGGUGAUUUGGACGGUUUUGAGAAUCCAGAACUUUUCGGUUAAAUCUCUCCAUUUUGUUUUGGAGCCCGGUGACUGUCUAUUGUUCCCGAGAAGUAUCAUUUGGAGAUCUUGUGUGCUACCUAAGAUGGCUUUUUUCGCGUGGGAGGCAACAUGAGGGAAAACUUUAACUUUGGAUCAGGUCCAAAGAAGGGGAUUUUCUUUAGCAAACAAAUGUUUUCUUUGCCACUUUGAAGAAAAAACUAUUGAUCACAUUUUUUUUCACUGUGCAAAGAUGUGGAUUCAAAGGUAACUACUUUUUUCUUUCUUUGGGGUGACUUAGGUUAUUUUCUAUUUGGUUAAGGAGACACUCCUUGGGUGGCAUGGUUCCUUUAUGGGUAAAAUCCGCAAAAAGUCUUAGAAGGUAGCCCCUUUAUGUAUCUUUUGGACGGUGUGGAAAGAAAGGAAUCUACUAGCAUUUGAUAAUGCGGAGUUCUUGGUCCAAAGGAUGAAAAAUUCUUUUGUUUGUAAUUUGUGGUCUUGGUCUAGGGUGUCUAUACAUAUGAGCUCUAUUUCUCUUGUUAACUUUAUUGAUUGACUAGGUUUUGAGUGAGGAUAGGUAAUGUUUUUUGUUUUUCUCCCUAUUUCACUUGGGUGAGCCUUUGGGUGGCCGGCAUAUACUUCCUUUAUACUUUAGGAUGCUGUCUUGGUGUUUCCCUUUUUUUUUUUUUUUUUACAUAUAUAUAUACUUUCUAAUCUUACCUAUAUAUAAAAAAAUUUAUAGUUUUGAUAGGUUUUCUUUAUCGGGGGUUUUCAAAAUAAUCUUAUUGUUAGUAGUUAAAAAGUCCACCAUUUCUUUUUUGUAGGCAAAUGAGAAUUAGUAUUAGUAGUGCCUAAGAGGAGACAUGCCAAACUACACACGAUGUAUAAAGUAGACGCCUAAUUUAAGUGAGACGAGGUCAACAAAAAGGCACCCUUUCCUUACUUGAAGCUUAGCUAAUCUAUAAGAUUUAUCAGACAUUGAUUGGUUCUCUAUGUAUGCACUAACUCAAUUCACAGAAGUAUACAUGAAAUCAGAUUUGAUUGCUUGGUCAAAUUACUCAAUAUCAUUAAAUAACCUUCUAUUCCUUAACUUGCCAAGAGUCUAAAACAAGUACAAUGGAGCAGCUCUCCUAGUUUUUUUUUUUCUGCUUCUUGCCUGCAAAAGACUCGUGCCACCCCAAAAGGUUCUCUUUCACAUAAGAGUGCAUUACCCAAACCUCUCCAAAGAGAGAAUAUCAAUUGCCCCAACAUUCUAGCUUUGGAACAGUGAAGUAGCAGAUGGUCCAUUGUUUCCUCUUCACCUUUGUACAAAAAACACCUAUUUGACAAAUUCCAUCCCCUCCUUUGGGCUGAUCAAGUGUUAGAAUUCUGCCCUAAGUUGCUUCCCUAGUAAAGAAACCUACCUUCAUAGGUGCCCACGUACUCCACACUACACCCUUUGGGAAAGGCUUCCAAUCUCCCAUUGUUAAACAUGCAUAUAGAGACCUAACCGAGAAAUUGCCAUGCUUGGUUUCAUUCCUACUCAAUUUGUCUUCCUCUUCCCUUCUAAUUGGCAAGGAAUGGAGUUUCCGUCAUAAGAAAUUCUCAACUUCCACGAGUUCCCAAUCAUUGAAUUUCCCAGAAAAAUUGGGUUUCCAACCCCUUCCCCACCUUGCUCCCUCACAUCCGCUACCCAAUCAUUUUUGUCCAAAGCUAUAGAGAAUAAAGUUAGGAAGGCUCAUUCCAAGGGUAAAUCAUCACACCAAAUAUCAUUUCAAAAUUUUACCCUUUUCCCAUUCCCAACUUUGGAAUGAUACCUGCUUUUAACAACCUCCCACCCUUUUCUAAUAGCUUUCCUUUGUGAUUUGAAUCUAUAAGGACUUUCUUUUUAUUGCAAAUCUCCAACUCCACUUACCAAGCAAAUCCUUGUUUAAAAUGGAUUAAAGAGCUCACCUGUGUUUGAUUUAAAAUUGUUUAGUUUGAUGAUAUCUCAUUGUGUGCCCUUCUCAUGUGGGACAAAUGGACAAUUUCUAAAGCACUUUAAGCAUUAUCUUCUCUGAAAAUAACAUCCAUCUUGGUUUUCUGAAAACAAGAAAACACAAUUGUUAUGGAAGUCUCCAAUUUUCUUUGGCUAACCCGGGUCACCUUGGCAAUAUUGGUUCCCUUCAGAAUUUUACUAUGCUAAUAAAGAAGAAUCAUGAGCAUUUUUCUUGAGUCAAUGGGAAGCUUUCAAGCUUAUAGUUUGUAUUUUUUAUUGUGGAAGGUGAUAUUUCCAACAUCAUCUAGUGGAGUAAAGAUUGUGGUGUAAAAGCUUGUAGACUCUCUGUCCUUUUGAAUAAGCUGUAGGUAUUCCUGAUUAGUUGGAUGUUUCUUAUCUAUGGGUUCCUGAGUUGCUUAUUGUGAAGUUAAUUUUAAUGCUGACAGUGGAGCUGUGACUUUUUACUAUGUGGGACCUUGAUGUUACCCUAGUUUAUUGUUCUAAUAGUUUUCAUUGUUUUAUUCUAUUUUUUCUUCUUUUUAUUGGCCUCAUCUCUUUGAGGAUUUUUUUUUCCUUCUUUAAUCUUCUUCUAUUAGACCUUGUCUUUGUAUUUUUAUCUUCCUGUUAAUAAGUUU